GCCGUGGUGGCGGAAUUGGCAUACGCGAUAGCUUCAGGAGCUAUUGAGAGCAAUCUCUUGGGAGUUCAAAUCUCCCCCACGGCA
rnacentral:tRNA from 1 species